CUCUUCUUUGCUUCCCCUGGUUUUCUUUGGGGAUAUUUUCUUUUAAAUUGUAGUGGUUUCAUGGGGGUUCCUGGACAUACCUAUUCAGUUUGCUCUCCCUUUGAUUUCACUCCCAGUUUAUAUCAACACUGAGUUUCAAUGACAGUGUAUAUCACAGCUUGCUGUGAGUUUUGCUGCCAGUGUAUAUCACAGAUUGCUGCGAGUUUUGCUGCCAGUGUAUAUCACAGAUUUCUGUGAGUUUUACUGACCGUGUAUAUCACAGAUUACUGUGAGUUUCUAUGACAGUGUAUAUCACAGAUUACUAUGAGUUUUGCUGCCAGUGUAUAUCAC